AGUGAGCGCUGGCGGUAGGCCUAACACAUGCAAGUCGAACGGCAGCACAGUAAGAGCUUGCUCUUACGGGUGGCGAGUGGCGGACGGGUGAGGAAUACAUCGGAAUCUACUUUUUCGUGGGGGAUAACGUAGGGAAACUUACGCUAAUACCGCAUACGACCUACGGGUGAAAGCAGGGGAUCUUCGGACCUUGCGCGAUUGAAUGAGCCGAUGUCGGAUUAGCUAGUUGGCGGGGUAAAGGCCCACCAAGGCGACGAUCCGUAGCUGGUCUGAGAGGAUGAUCAGCCACACGGGAACUGAGACACGGUCCAGACUCCUACGGGAGGCAGCAGUGGGGAAUAUUGGACAAUGGGCGCAAGCCUGAUCCAGCCAUACCGCGUGGGUGAAGAAGGCCUUCGGGUUGUAAAGCCCUUUUGUUGGGAAAGAAAAGCAGCAGGUUAAUACCCCGCUGUUCUGACGGUACCCAAAGAAUAAGCACCGGCUAACUUCGUG
rnacentral:rRNA from 1 species